UUUUAUGGAUGCAAUGGGGUCAAGGAAAAGGGAGGAUAUAAUAUGGAUGAGAAACUACAAACCAAAAGGAAUAGAGGAGCAAUGGGGAACAAGUGAAAACACAGUCAAAUCACACCCAAAACCCUCUAAUUCAAUCCUCUUCUUGACUCCGUUAUUCACAUAAUUUACUUUUUUUUUAAAUUUUCUCAUUUUUCUGAAUUUUUUUUUCUUUGUA
rnacentral:lncRNA from 1 species